UACGUAGGGGGCAAGCGUUGUCCGGAAUCAUUGGGCGUAAAGCGCGUGUAGGCGGCCAGGUAAGUCCGUUCUGAAAGCCCGGGGCUCAACCCCGGGAGGCGGAUGGAUACUGCUUGGCUCGAGUCCGGAAGAGGCGAGUGGAAUUCCCGGUGUAGCGGUGAAAUGCGCAGAUAUCGGGAAGAACACCCGUGGCGAAGGCGGCACUCUGGGACGGUACUGACGCUGAGACGCGAAAGCGUGGGGAGCGAACAGG
rnacentral:rRNA from 1 species